AAAAAAACAAAUAAUGACAAAACCAGUUAUUUUCCUCAUGGAGUAGAGAGAAGAGUAGCAGUCUGAAUGAGUCACUUCUUGUCCUAUGCAGAAGCUGGAGGUUUCAGAAGUCUACAUAAGCAUUUAUGAUGAGGAAACUGAGGCACAGGGUAGUCUGUAAAUUGUUCCAGCUUACCAGCCAGCAAGUAGCAAAGACAGAGCUGAAAUCCAGCCAUGACAAACUGCAAAGGGGAAUAUUGCAGAGAUGUGAUCCAUGGGUCAUGUGGAUUCCUGCUUGAGACCAGGUUAUCAGCAAAGAAGAGAGCGUCCAAGGUAGGGAGAUGGUAAGUGAGCA